GUUUAAAAUAUUCACAUAACCUCCCUCCAACAUCUUUGGGCGUACAUGCCUGUAUAUAAAUCUUCCUUGUAUGGAAAUCUUAUAUAGAAUAAAUAAAUAAUAAGUGCGAGUCUAUAAAUACGAAUAUACGCGUGAAGGGGGGUGUCGCCAUUUCCCUUCACGGGACUCUCCCCUUUUGAAUAUUUAAUGGUGACGAAUAGCUUCCGACCUGUAUUCCAACCUCGAUGACGUAAAAAUUUCGUGCAGAAAGAAAGUAAUGUUCAUUAAUUCCGUAAGAGACAAGGAUUCUUCUGCCGUUUGUGGAAACAUAGUAUCAAAGAAAUGGAUACAUUAGCAAAUCACAAAAAGAGAAAAAAGAUUGUGAAAUGAUUGUUCGAUUCUACAAUAACCACAUCCAGAUUGAAGUAUUGUAGAAGACCGUACCAAUGAAAAAGAUGGACGCACAAUACUGGCAGCGAACGUCCUGGAAAUUAAAUGUAACAUGAUAUUCGACGAGAAUGGAAUCCAAAGUUAUAAUAAAAAUCCUAACUGAUAGGAAAAAAAUAUAAAAUUGGAAAAAAACAAAAAAAAAAAAAGGAAAAAUAGAAGACAAGAAACAAAAGAAGAAAAAUAAGAUUAUAAUUGGCAAAAUAUUAUGACUCGCAUUCAAAAUGAUUUCCAUCUUCUUAACUUUUAUUUUUAUCCAAUUUCUCUGUUAACUCGAGUGACGUUUUCUAAAAUUCAAAUCGGGUAUCCACAGAUAUUCCGUAUUAUCUGCAUGAAUUUUUCGAAGCAGUGUAUCGAUGUAUUAAUGAUGAUGUAUCAAAGUCAACAGAGCCAAUCGAAGAUGUUCAAUCGUUCUCUCAUAAAUAUUACUAUCUCUUAUAAAUAUGAUUCCUCUCAGUUGGCCUCGAUACGCGGAAAAUAAAUCAAUCCGCGCGUGAAUAUUGGAUCUCGAUGGAUUGCAUGGAUUCCCACGGAUUUCGAGGUUUGAAAAGUGAAAUACUCUUAUUCACAGUGCGAAUCUCGCUUUUUCCCCAAUACUAUGUUUCGUCACUCUUUGCACACGUUUCUUAUAUUGACAAAUCGGUUGGAUGUCACGUUAAAAAAGUAAUAUUUCUUUAUAAAACGGAAAAGGAAAAGAAAUGAAAAAGAAGAAAAGAAAAAAAGAAAAACAAAGAAGAAGAAAGAAAAAGAGAAAUUGAUUUCCUUUUCUUUUUUUCAGUCAAAGAUUUAUUUUGAGAUGCUAAUAACGAAUAUUGAGAUGCUAUAGAAUUAAUUUAUUUUAUUAUCCUUCUUUCUUUCUAUCGGGAAAAUCGAAUUUUAAAUCUUCAUUAGCCGAAACUGAUUUACAUCGCGCGUUUUACUCGCAGAAGUUUCUUAAAUAGUUUGCAUUUCUCGAACGAGAAUCACUCCGUUUGAAUUUUGUAAUUGUAAAUUCCAUUACAAACGCGAAAUCCAUUAGUCAACAUGGUCUUUGCAAUUUUUAUUAACAGGAUAAAAUAUGCUUUUCAAUCCAUUUUUCAUUCAAAAUAUCGAGAAAGGAUUUAAAUAUCAAGAAUUCAUCAGAAUCUCUAUUGAUUUAUAAUUAAAUAUUUUGAGAUAACAUAUUAAUCCUUUUUGUUUCAAAAUUCAAUUAAAAUAUAUAAUUUUCAUCAAGCAAGAAGUUUAAUAAACUGAACGAAUCUAAUA